UUUUUGGCCUUAAUCCUCAGUUGGAAGUCAAAUCAGGCUUUUCACCAUCCCAUCAAAACGUCCUUUGUCAAAGCUCUCCGGGCUUUUUUUGUGAAGCGUAUCGGCGCAGCAGGGAUGCAGAGGUGCUGCUGGCGCUCUGCAAGUCGGCCCUGAAAGAAUCUCUGAUGGCCAGCAGACCUGAAGCCAGAAGGUGUCCACACACUUUGCUGUGCCACUGCUGGGAUCGACCCCUGCAACAAGGAAACACAACAGAAAGAAGCCUUUGCACAGUUCAAGGAAAACUCUUGAAUGAGACGUGAGAACAACAGAAGUCAAGUUCCCUUCUUAGGACAAAGCCACCAUCUUUUACAAGCUGUGAAGGGUGUACAAGAGACCAACUACACAAAUGUGGGUCAGCCGGGUCUUCCUGGCUCCGGCGGGCUCCAGCAAGUAGAGGCAGCCGUGGACGUGGACCCGGACCCCGUCCACCAGAACCUCAGGGUGGUCCGUGGAUACCGAGGACAGGAAGAGAGGACCGGAGGACGGGUCGGCCUGCCACCACCUGAGCAGGAGGAUUCAUAAUAAUGAGACGAAAAAUCUCAGUUUUCAGUCUGAUUUUAGCUCCAAGCAGCUUCUGAAGGUUUGGUUUUUCUGUUUUAAUAUUUCUGUAAUUGAUCACUGACACUGAAAAUUCCAAUAUACACUCCUGUUCAAAAUUCUGGGGUCACUUAGAGUGAUGUUGAGUGGUGCUGAAAUGCUGAUGAUUAGAAAACCCCUGUGCAGUUAUGUCAGCACAUGAAUAAAAAUGGGAGUUUUCAUGGAAAACAUGAAAUUGUCUGACCCCAAACUUUUGAACAGUAGUGUGGAUAUCAGAACACAAACCUAAAGAAGGUUUUAAAGGAUAUUUAAUGUCACCAAAACCAAUUAAAUCACCAAUAGAAUCCAUCAGUGUCGCUUAAGACAGGAUUCAGGAAAUAUGUUGCUUCAGUCUCUUAUUCAGAAUUUGCUUAUUUGAGACCUAAAACUACGUUCUGUACAAUAUUGUGACUGAAUUUUGACAAUAUCAUGUUUUCAGACCUGGGAAUUCUAGUAUUUCCCCCUCAAAUAAAAACAUUGUACCUGGGGGCCUUUUGAAGGUUCAAUAUCUCCAAAAAUUUAACUCCCACUGCCAUUAAAUCUGAAGAGGACACAGACAGCUCAGUUUCUAGUAGAUCUAAACGACUAAACUGCUCCAAAAGAGGACAAUUUUUUAACUUUUAGCUAUUGAAAAUGGGGGGAAAAGGCAAAAUUUUAUAACAAGAGAGCAUUAAACUCUAAUAUAUGUGCUAUAAAUGUGUACAUGGACAUAUUCAUAUGUCCAGUGGUUUAAUAUUUCAAUUUAAGUUUAAAAAAAAGUGAUAUUUGAUCCUUUUAAAUGUCCGAGAUCAGCUGUAGUACCUCAUUGUUCCACUGCAUGUUUGCAAGCAGAGAGCAUCGUGGGAGCUAUCAAUGUGCACCAUGACAAGGAUUCUGUGACAUUUAAUGACCUCCUACUUCAUCUCAAAUUCAACUUUUGGUUAUUCUUUUUUGUGAUUCAUGAUGACAUACCUGACUAAUACACUACUCAUUUAAAAUGUUGCCAAAAAAAUAAACAAAAAACCAUUUUCUCUAACUAAAUCCAACAAUUCAGAGCAACCCUGAAGACAUAGUAAAGGGACCAAAAUUCUGAGAUUUUUUAGCUGAACUGCAGGCUGUUUACACAGGGCAAAGAGAAAACAAGUAUGGAAACAGAUUUAAAAAGUAAAAAAUUACAAAAUUAAACUUUUGUUUUUUCUUUCUUAUGACUUCUAGCAUUGUAACUGCAUCAUGCUGCACAGAAGAUAUUUCUAAGUUUGUCCUAGUUAUGGAUGUUCUGUUUAAACAGAGGUGCAGGACUUUAUAUUGCUGAGAAAAAAAUGAAUCCACGGUGACAAAAAAAUGUGAAACAAGUAAACAUACUCCCUACAAAAACUCUUCUGUUAUUACAGGAACAAGAAGGCAACACUGGUCACUGGUUUUAACUUUAAUAACAAAUGUGUAUUUUAAUGUAAUAAGCUAAUUAAAGUCAUUCAUAUCAAUAAAUUUAAAGGCACAAGUGUUCAGUUUCAGCUGUUCAUCCUGGUUCUGUGGUGUUUACAAGACAAGUUAUUUAUCCCAAGAUCGAAGAAUGUAAAAGCUGCUGCAGAAAUAUGAAUAAAACUAUUAUUUUGUGGCCUGUUUCUAAAAUUUCAGGUGCUGCACUUGCUUGUUUUUGGUCUUUACACUGGAUUUGUUGAAAAUAAAGACUGUGGCUGAAUGUA